rnacentral:rRNA from 1 species
GACGAACGCUGGCGGCGUGCUUAACACAUGCAAGUCGAACGGAAAGGCCCUGCUUUUGUGGGGUGCUCGAGUGGCGAACGGGUGUGUAACACGUGAGUAACCUGCCCUUGACUUUGGGAUAACUUCAGGAAACUGGGGCUACUACCGGAUAGGAGCUCCUGCUGCAUGGUGGGGGUUGGACAGUUUCGGCGGUUGGGGAUGGACUGGCGGCUUAUCAGCUUGUUGGUGGGGUAGUGGCUUACCCAGGCUUUGACGGGUAGCCGGCCUGAGAGGGUGAACGGCGACAUGGGUACUGCGAGACGGCCCAGACUCCUACGGGAGGCAGCAGGGGGGAAUAUUGCACAAUGGGGGGGAGCGUGAGGCAGCAACGCCGCGUGCGGGAUGACGGCCUUCGGGGUGGAAACCGCUUUCGCCUGUGACGAAGCGUGAGUGACGGUAAUGGGUAAAGAAGCACCGGCUAACUACGUG